rfam:Musca domestica strain aabys unplaced genomic scaffold Scaffold19329, whole genome shotgun sequence.
CAAAAGGUUUUUAAAAACCACAUUAUUUUUCCAAAAAAUAUAAA